rnacentral:rRNA from 1 species
UACGAAGGGGGCUAGCGUUGUUCGGAAUCACUGGGCGUAAAGCGCACGUAGGCGGAUCUUUAAGUCAGGGGUGAAAUCCCGAGGCUCAACCUCGGAACUGCCUUUGAUACUGGGGAUCUCGAGUCCGGGAGAGGUGAGUGGAACUGCGAGUGUAGAGGUGAAAUUCGUAGAUAUUCGCAAGAACACCAGUGGCGAAGGCGGCUCACUGGCCCGGAACUGACGCUCAUGCACGACAGCGUGGGGAUCAAACAGG